rnacentral:rRNA from 1 species
CCUACGGGCGGCAGCAGUCGAGAAUCAUUCACAAUGGGGGAAACCCUGAUGGUGCGACGCCGCGUGGGGGAAUGAAGGUCUUCGGAUUGUAAACCCCUGUCAUGUGGGAGCAAAUUAAAAAGAUAGUACCACAAGAGGAAGAGACGGCUAACUCUGUGCCAGCAGCCGCGGUAAUACAGAGGUCUCAAGCGUUGUUCGGAAUCACUGGGCGUAAAGCGUGCGUAGGCUGUUUCGUAAGUCGGGUGUGAAAGGCGCGGGCUCAACCCGCGGACGGCACAUGAUACUGCGAGACUAGAGUAAGGGAGGGGGAAGCGGAAUUCUCGGUGUAGCAGUGAAAUGCGUAGAUAUCGAGAGGAACACUCGUGGCGAAGGCGGGUUCCUGGACAUUAACUGACGCUGAGGCACGAAGGCCAGGGGAGCGAAAGGGAUUAGAUACCCCUGUAGUC